rnacentral:tRNA from 1 species
UCCCUGGUGGCUUAGAGGGUAAAGCAUCUGCCUGCAAUGUGGGAGACCUGGGUUCAAUCCCUGGGUUGGGAA